UUUGCCUUUGCAAGGUGAUUUUAGGUCGUCUUUUAAAGACAGAAACAUUAUGAGAUGAAAGGAACUUGGAUCUCUAAGUCACUCCUUGAGAAAACUCUUCCAAGACAAAACUGUGAACCCUGGAAAUAACACAAGAAGCAACCCAGGAAGAACUUUGAAAGAUGGGAAGAAUAUAUUCUUUCUUGGAACCCCAGGAUUUGAGGAACAAUAUAUUGGCAUAUCACCUCACGUCUUCCCACCCAACAGGAGAAGAAUAUGAAUGAUGAGCCUCCUGUAUGCAAUCCACCACAUUUGGAAACUCAAAUUUAUUCCACUGUUGAGUCCUUUCAUUCAGCUCAACUGUUUAGCAAAGAUUCUCCACAGGAACAUCUGAGCUAUUCAAUUGUAGGAGUCCAUCAACGAUGCCUUAAAAAGAGCAGGAUGAAAGUAGAAAGAAGAGAUUGGAGAAAAUGUCAUUGAGCAGCUAUUACUUUAAGAAGUGCUUUACUGAUGUUAUCCGUGCUGAU
rnacentral:lncRNA from 1 species